GGAAGAGGGGGGUCUCCCUGCCACAUGGGGUGCUGAGCUUAUUCCCCGACCCCACCUGUGUUCCCAAGUCACAUUCCAGGGGACCAGACAGUGGCUGCCUUUGUGGGGAGCACCAUUCAGAGGUGGGGGUCUGGACCACCUGGGACCGGGGCAGCAUCUGUCCCCGCGCUCCUGAGGUCUGCAGGUGGUCCCCACGGCUCCCUGCGGGGACAGCGUGCAGGGUAGCGGUCGGGCGAUUUCCAUCUGAUGGCGCAUCCUUCCUGCCUCCAAUGCUGUGCUAUGACUUGGCUGGAAGGACCCUAAGCCUUCGUCUUUCCUGCCAUGGGGAAGGGGAAGAGGGGAGCCGCUGCCUGUGGGCCAGGUAACUGUGGCACAGAGACAUUAGGUGAUUUGCCCAGGUCACAGAGCCCACGAGCACCUGCCCCCACGCACACCAGGAAGCUGGUGCCCAGGGCCAAAGUGACCAGCGGGCAGGGACAGCCCCCAGACUGUAGCUGGCUUCUGCCCUCCUCCCUCUUUGAAGGGGGCUUGAGCCGGGCCACAGGUGACCGGCGUCCGGGCAGGACACCAUCACCAACCCACUCUCGCACCUGCCUCCCCUGCCGCAGCCCCUCUGGCUGGCCCAAGCCCCCCAACCUGGUUGGACCUACUCUGGACGGCAAAGCCCAGAUGGACAAGGGUCCAGAGUCCACACCCCAUGUGGGGGCCUUGGGACCUGGAGCCUGCCCAAGCUGCCUUCUUACCACCCGAGAAGCGGGUAAAUCACGGCACCCCUGGGCCCUGGAGAGGCUGCCUGUGAUGGCCCUCGGAUGGCAACCCUGCCGUCCACUGUGCCGUCCACCCGCAUCCCCAUGCUGGGCCUCUGCUGGCCGGCGGCUCCCAUGCCACAGGGACCCUUUCUGUGGCUCCUCUGUGUGACAGGUGUCAGCCCCAGCAAGGGCCCUGGGCCCUUGUCCGUAGAGAGGCUUGGAGGCCCUGUCUGGUGGUCUAGCAGGGGCAGGAGCUCAGCCCCAGAUCCCAGUCUCCUGAGAACAGGUUCCAGAGCCUUCCAAAGGGGGAGGUGUUGCUCCUGGGCACCUGGCCUCCCCCACCUCGGUGCUGAACAGCACUGACCCCAGCACAGAGCCCCGCAGCCUCCCUGCCGAGCCCCUCAGACCCGGGAAGUUGCUGCGUCGAUUUCUUCACCCCCAGCCUUCCGUUGAAAAGGGAAAGAAAGCCCUUCUUUCUCAACCUGACUGCCAUCUCUCGCAGGAAGCCCCCGGCCGAGCUCGCAGUGGCCCAUCUUCCCACCAUGGCCGCCUGGGCAGGGCCUGGGGCUGGGGCGGGAGCGAGAAGUGCCCAGAGACCACCCCCAGUGAGGGAGGUCCACGAGGGGGCCACCGACCCACUGUCUGCAUUUAGAGAUUUCUUUGUUCCGGGGGUGCACUGGUUUGCCCUCAGCCAUGGUGCACAUCUCAUAUUUGGUGACGGCACCACGGCACACCCCUCAUCAACCAGACCUUCCCGUGGACGGUCUCGUGCAUUUUCACCACCUCCCUGUGGGGUCGGGGCCACUGUCACCCCCGUGUACAGAUAAGGACAUGGAGGCUCAGAGAGGUGAAGCAGCUUCCCCAAGACUGCACAGCCUUUGAGAGGCAGAGCUGGGAUUCAGACUCUGGACGCAUCACAGUGGGUUAAGGCUGGGACUGACCGGCACCCUGUUUGUGCCAGUGGACAUGUGUCCUCAAAACAACGGGCUACUCAUUACUCAGAUGGAGUUAAGGGCAAGAACCAGCUCACUGAGUUCUGGUGUCGCGUGAGGGGAGGGGCUCAGGGGAGGCUCUGGGUGGGCAGGGGACCCCAGCACCCCAGGCCCUGGGCACAGCCCUCCUACUGUGAGCUCAGGACACCGCCCACUCAAGGGCCCUGUGAUGCUGGCGGGGCAGCAGCCCCCCGAGGAAUGCACCCGGGGACACAGGGAGGGUCUCCGGCAGGGAAGCACCCUGGUUCCCUACUCGGGGCCCCCCCACCUCCCUGGGCACACCUAGAACGCUCCUGAAACAGGAAGAGGCCGAGCAGCCCCUUCCCCCCAGCCACACCAGGAACUCCCCCAAGGGGAGCUCAUCAGGUCUCGGGGGCGGGGGAGGGGCAGGACUCUCCAAAGGGCUCGGCCCCUCGGGGCUUCAGUGCGCCGAGGCAGGGCCCGCGCCCCAGGCGGGGCAUGAGUCCCACGUGCCUUAGUUUUUCAGAAAAGCAAAUUGAGGGACAUUUACCAAAAACCCUCACUACCAGCUGCUCUUUGUCAGGAAGUAGCUGUCCACAGCGCUUCUGGGAUGUGAGCUGCACACCUGGUGGUAAUUCCAGGGCAGGCUAAAUCCUCUUUGACCUGCAGACACAGGCACCUCUGGCUGCAGCUCUCACUGCUCUGACCUUGUCCCCGAGGUUCUGACUGUGCCCCCAAGCUCUGGCAUCAACCUGCUCAACCAUGGACCCGGUCUGAUCGACAGUGUCUCUGGGAAGCGCCCACACACCAGUGGAGGGGGAAGGUGGGGAGUCCCACUCAUUUGAAAAGUCCACUUCUCUGAGCUGCCCGGCCCCCCUGGACGCCAGCGUUGUGUGACGCAGAAGAAUUUUCUGUUCCUCCUGACCAGGCCACCACCAGCCACAGUGAAGCUGCAGCUGAAAACCACACUGGACUUCCUGUCAACGGCAGACCUGAGCCAGCGCCCGCCCAGCACGGCCCAGCGGAUGGGGAUGUCACUCGAGGGCCAGACGACUGCAAAGGAGUCUUAGAGAUGCUGCCCACGGCCUCGUGGGGCCAGCACUCUGGGACAGCACAGCCAGCAACGGCGGCACCUGCUGGGGCGCUCUCGCAGGGGACAGGCCUGCCCAGCUGCCCCGACCCCGGGACCCAGCUGGGCCACCCACCAGGAGGUGCCCCGCGAGGGCAGGCAGCACCAGCCCCCUUUGGGAAGAGGCUGACCUGGGGCCCCCAGGGUCUCAGGUCCAUGCAGAUCCAACCCAGACACAGACCCGGCCACACUCCCUCUGCCCACUCCCAGCGCCCCUCCGCCGCUCCACCCACGUGGAGAGGAGACCCUCAGGCGGGCUGCACAUGGUGCGCUGGGCGGGGGUUCUGUGUGCCGCCCUCGCGUCAGACAUCCAUUUCUGAGAAGGGCUUCGUGGGUGGACAUGGCCUCCUCCAGGACCCUCGCUCAGAUGAGCUGAUGGGCUCAGACACCCUGGCAAGACCUUCCGCUGGGCUGGGCUGGGGGUGUUGCUCCCCCCACCGUGACCCGUGAGCCAGGCGGCCCCCGGGGACACAUGCCAGCUGCCUGACCAACCCCAGCUGGAGCCCGCGGACUGUCCGUGUCACCAACCCUGCGCCCAGCCUCCCGGCCUGGCCAGCCCACUGGCCCUCAUCCCCACCCCAAGCUUAAGGUUCAGGCCCUCCUCUCCGCCCAUCAGCCCCACACUGGGGCUCCUUGUCCCCCACGGGACGCCCCAGAUCAACCCGAGAAAGGCUUCUACUCAAGCCGCUUCACCCUGUUGAACACACACGCUGUUCUCAACCCAAAAGUUGAGAUUUCCUCACAGCCAGGGACCCCAUGUCUCCCCGGACGGCAGCAGUCCACCCCAGAGCCUCAGCCCCACCCAUCCCUCCCCACGUCCUGCUCCACUCGGUCAGUGACAGAAAACAGCUGAACUGGCCUCCUGCCAGGGACAAGCCAGCCCCGGUCACCUCUGCAAGAGUAUUUCAGUAAAACCUGGGGAAGUCUCAGUAAAGAGAAGUCAUCUGCAAGCCAAAAACCCUCUUCCCUUCCUCCCGCCCCCACAAUUUUAGAUCUCUCCUCAAACUUUAUUAUGUUAA